rnacentral:rRNA from 1 species
GCAUGGCAGACGGGUGAGUAACGCGUGGGGAAUCUACCUCUUUGUGGGGAAUAACGCUCCGAAAGGAGUGGUAAUACCGCAUGAGAUCCAUGGCUGGGAUGCUGUGGAUGAAACCUGGGGACCGCAAGGCCUGGGGCAAGGAGAGGAUCCUGCGUCUGAUUAGCUAGUUGGUGAGGUAAUGGCCCACCAAGGCGACGAUCAGUAGCCGGCCUGAGAGGGUGAUCGGCCACACUGGAACUGAGACACGGUCCAGACUCCUACGGGAGGCAGCAGUGGGGAAUUUUGCGCAAUGGGCGAAAGCCUGACGCAGCAACGCCGCGUGGGUGAUGAAGGUCUUCGGAUCGUAAAACCCUGUCGUCGGGGACGAAGGUGGAGGGGUUAAUAGCCUCUUUGCUUGACGGUACCCGGAGAGGAAGCCCCGGCUAACUCUGUGCCAGCAGCCGCGGUAAUACAGAGGGGGCAAGCGUUAUUCGUAAUUAUUGGGCGUAAAGGGCGCGUAGGCGGCUUUUUAAGUGAGAUGUGUAAUCCCUGAGCUCAACUUGGGAACUGCAUCUCAUACUGGGAGGCUAGAGUACUGGAGAGGGUGGUAGAAUUCCACGUGUAGCGGUGAAAUGCGUAGAGAUGUGAAGGAAUACCAGUGGCGAAGGCGGCCACCUGGACAGUAACUGACGCUGAGGCGCGAAAGUGUG